rnacentral:rRNA from 1 species
AUACGUAGGUGACAAGCGUUAUCCGGAUUUACUGGGCGUAAAGGGCGUGUAGGCGGUCUUGCAAGUCAGAAGUGAAAUUCCUGAGCUCAACUCGGGCGCUGCUUCUGAAACUGCAGGACUUGAGUGCAGGAGAGGUUAUCGGAAUUCCCGGUGUAGCGGUGAAAUGCGUAGAGAUCGGGAGGAACACCAGUGGCGAAGGCGGGUAACUGGACAGCAACUGACGCUGAGGCGCGAAAGUGUGGGGAGCAAACAGGAUUAGAUACCCUGGUAGUCCACACUGUAAACGAUGAAUGCUAGGUGUAAGAGGUAUCGACCCCUUUUGUGCCGGAGUCAACACAAUAAGCAUUCCGCCUGGGGAGUACGGCCGCAAGGUUGAAACUCAAAUGAAUUGACGG